GGCACAAACUUGAAGUAGAAUAGUUGAGUAUGGUCAGCUGAUCCUACUGAUCUACUCUGCUUCAAGUUUGUGCUC
rnacentral:pre_miRNA from 1 species